GGUCAUAGCUCAGUAGUUGAGCAUCUGCCUUGCAUGCAGAAGAUCCCAUGUUCAGUCCCCAGCAUCUCCA